rnacentral:rRNA from 1 species
GAUGAACGCUGGCGGCGUGCCUAAUACAUGCAAGUCGAGCGAACAGAUGAGGAGCUUGCUCCUUUGACGUUAGCGGCGGACGGGUGAGUAACACGUGGAUAACCUACCUAUAAGACUGGGAUAACUUCGGGAAACCGGAGCUAAUACCGGAUAAUAUUUUGAACCGCAUGGUUCAAUAGUGAAAGACGGUCUUGCUGUCACUUAUAGAUGGAUCCGCGCCGCAUUAGCUAGUUGGUAAGGUAACGGCUUACCAAGGCAACGAUGCGUAGCCGACCUGAGAGGGUGAUCGGCCACACUGGAACUGAGACACGGUCCAGACUCCUACGGGAGGCAGCAGUAGGGAAUCUUCCGCAAUGGGCGAAAGCCUGACGGAGCAACGCCGCGUGAGUGAUGAAGGUCUUCGGAUCGUAAAACUCUGUUAUCAGGGAAGAACAAACGUGUAAGUAACUGUGCACGUCUUGACGGUACCUGAUCAGAAAGCCACGGCUAACUACGUG